UACGUAGGGGGCGAGCGUUGUCCGGAAUCAUUGGGCGUAAAGCGCGUGUAGGCGGCUCAGUCAGUCUGGUGUGAAACCUUGGGGCUCAACCCCAAGCCUGCACUGGAUACUGCUGAGCUUGAGUCCGGGAGGGGAGAGCGGAAUUCCUAGUGUAGCGGUGAAAUGCGCAGAUAUUAGGAAGAACACCGGUGGCGAAGGCGGCUCUCUGGAACGGUACUGACGCUGAGACGCGAAAGCGUGGGGAGCGAAC
rnacentral:rRNA from 1 species